rnacentral:lncRNA from 1 species
ACACCCUGCUUUAUUCAGAAAACCGGAAGCAAAACGACAGACCGUCAGGAUUCAGGAAGCAACAAACAUCAACAACUUUUGAAGGAGACUACAAAAGCUUUGAACACGAGAAAAGGUACAGGUACUCUACAAAAGCAAUGUUGAGCUUCAGGUUUGGUGCGAUGCAUCAACUAGCAGAAGCCAAAACCUUGUCAUCCUCAUUAGCACCCCCAGACUGCACAAGACAUGUUGCAGAUGAGCAAGCAUUUAUAUAUGCCUCACAUAUGUGAUAGCUGACAUACUACCAAAAGGUUCUUUAGUUAGUACCUUCAUCAGAUAAUGAAAUAUGAUUAGCAGCCCUGUAAGCAAUUAAAUUAUGGUCCUGUGGUUAAAUUCUGGAUGCAAGGAACAUAAUUACAAGAGUCUGGAAGGAAUUGCCCCACCAAGGAUCUACUGGAGGUGCCUCAAAUCUGAUCUAGGCCUACUUGUUAAUAGGGUCAAAGACAAGCUAAGACCCUACCUUGUUAAUUUUAUACAGCCUUGAGCUUUGUGUUUUCGGUGGUUGUACUGGGGUCUUAAGCCCCACACAUGCAUACAUUUUAUUUAUGGAAUAUUUAUGUCAACUACUAAAUGCAUACGUGCAGCGCAUGUUGAUAUUAGCCGCUAUAUAUAUAUAUAUAUAUAUAUAUAUAGUUCUAUGGCAAGCUAUGAUAGAAUGUAAUAUAAUAUAGGUACAUAUAUAUAUAUAUAAUGUAAUAUAAUAUACUACUAAUCGUGUAUGUGCACGCACAUCUAGUUUGGCAGUAAUACUAUUUCCAAAAUUAACCAUAAUUAAUGUUGAUUUCAAUAUUAAUUGUGUUUAAUGCAAUUAAUGUCUUUUCCAAAUUAUUGAUGAUGUGAUAGAUACAUCAUUGGAGCAGCGUGAGACGUUGGAUAUAGGUGGUUGGAUGGCUCAGAUUAUUUGGAUUCACCAAACUCAUGCUUUUAUUAGUACAAGUAGAUUUAUUUAUGACAAUGCCACUAGGAAUGCCAUUCACCAAACUCAUUUCUCUUUCUUUCUUGCCAUGCAGUGAUGCUACCGGCUGGUCAAAACAGCCUGGGUUGAGAUGAAAAUAGGUAAAAAGCCUUAAAUACCGUUUGUUAGCUGUCUACAAAGAGCAAAAGGGCAGGGAGGAAUUGGUAUUACCUGACUCUAAAACAGAGGGUACAGAAAAGAUAGCUAGCUACCAGGAGAAGAUUUUCGUGCUUGAAUCUGACGCAGAAUUGUUAUAAAUUUAUGCAUUACAACCCUGGAGCUAAUGUAGUCAGUUCAUACAGCAAUACUGUAAAAUUCUUGAGCCAUAAUGUACUGAGAUUCUGAGGUUUGCUACAACUGGAGUAUCUACAAUGCACAGUUUAGUAAGCAUAAUAACAAGGUUUUAUGAAUCCAUAGUCCAUCAGGUUUAAUGCAAUUAUGCUAUAUAUAUAGAAUCCAUAAGCUAACACAAGCAGGAUACAAUACACCCAUCAGCAUCUAGGCAUACUUCAGGCCAUGAGCAAGGAUUGUAUAUUUAGUGGGAACCUCCAAGACGAGCCUAGGCCCCUCACUUGACCUGGUUCCACGCGCGCAGCCAGCCAUUGUCCCCACUCACGCACCCACGUCACCGUCUGGUUCCAUUCCCAGAGCCAGCCGUCAGUCAUGCUCAAUUACACAUGCCACGUCCGUACCAAGGAAGCUUGUGCUGCAGCCUCGCCUGACUCACUGAACUUGGCAAGGGAUUUUGGAGAAGGGGAUUCAAUCGGGAGGUGAGUAGAGCACACAAUUGAGAGGGCUGUGUGGUGGGGGCAUGUGCUCCAGUGACUAGUACAAGCUGGGUCAAUAUGAGUUAAUGAGGUAGUUUCCGAACCAAUAUAGUCCAGGCUGGUCAAUACAUCAGCAUAGCAAAAACGGAAGACAUAAUAUAGACAGACCUGUUUGUCCUGCCUUUACUUAUUGUGUUGGAACCUGUUUGGUUAAGAUUGUUAGUUUGGCUCUCGUUUGUUGCAUCUUACUGUAGGGGCUGUGUAGCCUGGGAUGUAAGUGUAGAGGGUUGUGUUGGUUGCAUUUGUGACUCCAUUUUCUUUAAUCUUUGAUAUGGCAUUCUCAUAAAUGGGAGAAAAGCAAUGUCACAUUUAUAGUUUCAGAGUCAACUAGUGGCAUUGAAAUUAAAUUCCAUUUAUUUACUGAUAUAACACAGGCUGCACAGUAGAAGCCUGUUUUAAUGCUGAUCUUAAAUGUUAACCAAAGCCUUCACCAUUCUCGCCGGCAAAACAGAACCGAAAGCCAAGCCACACCUUGCUGUUGGAGGAAAGAAUGUAACACGGAGGAUGAGGCAGACAGAGUAAGCAUGAGGCGGGCGAUGGAGAUGGGCAGCCAGCUGCCCCGCCGAGCAGGGCUGAGUUAAGCAUCAGUUCCCGUGGGAAGCAGAGCCCAGCCUGACGGUAUUUGUGAUCUACAAGCUUGGGUGAGCAUAGGCAUUUGAGGGCAGAGGUUAGGUCGGACCACUUCAUGGACGAGUCAGGACAUGGACACUCUUUAGUAUUAGCAUUCCAAUCUGGAACGCCAUUCCGUCCAGAAACAGAACCUACGUUGCCAUUUUGGAGAAGAAAAAUAACAUCAAAAGAGACAUUCUUAAUACUUUGUGCCUUAGGGUCAUAGUAAUACAGGAACAGUAUGGUAUACCUUUUCAGCAGAAUGGGCCAAGGAAUUAAGCAGUACAGGCCAUAAAAAAUCUAAGAAGGUGAAUGAGGCGAACUGUUUGUUUCUGCAGAAAAACAACAUAGUGGAGCGUGUCAAGCAAAAUGUAAAAGAGUACAAGUACAUAACAGAAGGAAUGAAUAGUUUGCUAUUUCCUGAAAGAAGUAGAAGUGAAAACAUGAGAUUUUCGCUGGAGCAAAAUCUAAGAAGAAUGAAUUCACAUAUUGACAACCGCAAGCUAAGGAAAUAUUCUCGUUACACCAAAGAAAAGAGCUAUAGUAAUUACAUAUACCCAAUUGCAUGUUCUGGCAGCUCUCAUCAGUUUGAUCAGUGAUGAUAAAAUGAGGAUAUAAUAGGCUCAAAGACGACUUUAAUAUCUGGCAACCUUAAAGAUGCAAAAUUGAAUGCUACCCUGAAUCCACUUCACUUCAGGUUGGCUGCAAAAGAGAAACCAUUUAUCAAGAUUCAAGAAACAGGCAAACAAAAAUAUCAAACCUCAACAAUCAGUUUGGCAGCAAGAUGCAGUUUUCUUGGCAAGAGAAAGAAGACUUUAAUCUUUUAAUGUUUCAGGAGCAGGUAAUAUAUUCUACGAUAAAAAUCUAUUCUGUUCCUUGUGAAUCAAGCAAAUCAGGCCCUAGCUCAACCAAGCUCGGUCCACAAGAAUUCACUGACAAAAGAAAGCUCAAAACUCACUUAUCUUUAUAGAAAAGCCUCCAUGAUAUAUAACGAAACAAUUCCUCAUUUAACACUAUCUUAAAUUUCCUUUCUUUAUUUGACACUGAAAAACUUUUUCUUCCCUAUCUAACAAUGAGUCCAAAUUUUAUGCCCUUCAUGACACUUCCGUCCAUUUUGGGCCUAAAUGACACCUGAAAAGACCCUUUUGCCCCUAUCUUUUCAGGUGUCAUUUAUGCUUAAAAUGGACAGAAGUGUUAUAAAAGGCAUAAAAUUUAGACUCGUUGUUAGAUAGGGAAGAAAUCAUUUGUCGAUGUCAAAUAGGGCAUAAAAUUUAAACAUGAUAUUAAGUAAGGAAUUCUCUCAUACUCAUGAGGGGCAAAAGGGCCUUUUCAGGUGUAAUUUAUGCUUAAAAUAGACAGAAGUGUCAUAAAAGGCAUAAAAUUUAGACUUGGUGUUAGAUAGGGAAGAAAUCAUUUGUCGAUGUCAAUAGGGCAUAAAAUUUAAACACGAUGUUAAAUAAGGAAUUCUCUCAAGCUUAGUAUGACUUUGUACUGAAGUUAGUACAAAGUUGAGACACUUAUUUUGGGACGGAGGGAGUAUAUAAAUACAAAAUCCUCUUAAUGGUCUUGUGUGUGGUUAGUGUCUUGGUGCAUAGGUUAUAUCUCCCAAUGGAAGAACUCAAAUAAGCAUAAGAAAGAUGGUAAACAUUAUUAAGUGAAAUAUAAUUGGUAUUUAGUUGGUUCUACAAAAUUUCUUGUGGUUGAAAGUUGAAAGUAAGGACUUCACUUAAGAUGCUCUUGGCUUUUAGAGCAUGGUUAGGUCAAAUUUAAGUAUAUCUGCUUUAUUUGUCCUUUGGGCUCAAGUGCAUCCCCUUUAUGCAUUUUUUUCUAUAACACAUACAUAUAAAAUAACAUGUAUUUCAGUACACGACACUCUCAAAGUUCCACAAUAUGUUCUCUAGACAAUAGCCAACUUGCAUUGAUGGAAUCACCAGUGCAUUUAUUAAGAGGUUAUGCACACCUCUAUGAGGAGUCGGUGUUCUAAAAGACAGUUGCUUAGCCCUUCGCCAAACCCAAGGUCCCACCCCGCCACCUAAGGAGAGAUGUACUGAUAGUUACCAAGACCGUGGGUCGAACAGGUCACAGAAAAAGGUUGAGUAGCUAGAGAAGUGAUCAUGAUCCGAGUGAAGCCAGGCCAAACGACCCUAACUACCUGGCCACAAAACCAAUUGCUAGUAAGAAUGCAAUAUCAAUAAUAUAUUCCCUCUGUUUCACUAUCUCUAGCCAUGGCCCUAACAUUAUUUGCUUUAAAGUACUUGUCAAUCUAGGGAAUGAAGAGUGUAGUUAUUGUAAUGUUUCCACUCUACCUUUUCUGUACUAAUUUUGAAAAUGUCAAGUAGGUGUAGCAUAUCAUUAAGUAAGGGUAUGGCUAUUUAUCUCUCUUGUUCUCGCCUAGUUAUUGUGCAAGUCUUUUUCCCAGCAUCAUGGCAAGAACAUUGAACAAGGGUCGACCGCUAGACUUGCAAACUUGUGGAAAGAUAAUAGUGAAAUGGGGCAUUGUACGAUGUCAUACCAUGUACCUAGUCUCAACUAUGUGAAAAUAAC